UACGAAGGGGGCUAGCGUUGUUCGGAAUCAUUGGGCGUAAAGAGCGUGUAGGCGGCCCGGUAAGUCCGCUGUAAAAGUCAAAGGCUCAACCUUUGAAUGUCAGUGGAUACUGCCGGGCUAGAGUCCGGAAGAGGCGAGUGGAACUCCUGGUGUAGCGGUGGAAUGCGCAGAUAUCAGGAAGAACACCAACGGCGAAGGCAGCUCGCUGGGACGGUACUGACGCUGAGACGCGAAAGCGUGGGGAGCGAACAGG
rnacentral:rRNA from 1 species